rnacentral:tRNA from 1 species
UGAGAUGUAGCUCAGUGGUAGAGUGCUCACCUAGUAUGUAUGAGGUUCUGGGUUCAAUUCCCAAUAACACAU